ACAGCAGCAGCCGCGGUAAUACGAGGGGUGCAAGCGUUGCACGGAAUUAUUGGGCGUAAAGGGUAGGUAGGUGGUCUCAUUUGUCGGGGGUGAAAGCCUUGGGCUUAACCCAAGAAGUGCCCCCGAAACGGUGAGACUCGAGUCUUGGAGAGGGUCGUGGAAUUCCCGGUGUAGCGGUGAAAUGCGUAGAGAUCGGGAGGAACACCAGAGGCGAAGGCGGCGACCUGGACAAGUACUGACACUCAACUACGAAAGCGUGGGGAGCAAACAGGAUUAGAUACCCCAGUAGUCCCUGUCUCUUAUAC
rnacentral:rRNA from 1 species